CUUAACCAAUCAGUGGACAGGAUUUGGAUUUCCUUAUAUGUGCAGACCACAUGGCUCAUCCGAAACAAAGGAGAAAGGAGUGUGAUUUCAGUUCCUGCAUUCCUGCACAUGCUCAGUACAUUGAUGACAGUAUCUUAGCUACGUGUAAUUAACUAACUGAUACAACAUACACAUAUGCCACGUGGAAAGCUCGGCCUACUAAAUUUACAUUUCACCGAAAUUCCAUCACAGUAGGGACUUAUGGGCCAUAUAGUACAUGUCUCUGUAUAAUGCUUCAGCUCUCUCUAUCUUUGUAGCCCUAUCUUGGCUCUCCCUAAUUUCUCGUGCAGAGAGAACUUGCUGG